CACGUAGGGGGCGAGCGUUGUCCGGAAUUAUUGGGCGUAAAGAGCUCGUAGGCGGUUUGUCACGUCUGCUGUGAAAUCCCGAGGCUCAACCUCGGGCCUGCAGUGGGUACGGGCAGACUGGAGUGCGGUAGGGGAGAAUAGAAUUCCUGGUGUAGCGGUGGAAUGCGCAGAUAUCAGGAGGAACACCGAUGGCGAAGGCAGUUCUCUGGGCCGUAACUGACGCUGAGGAGCGAAAGCGUGGGGAGCGAACAGG
rnacentral:rRNA from 1 species